UACGGAGGGUGCAAACGUUGCUCGGAAUCAUUGGGCGUAAAGCGCACGUAGGCGGUCGGCUAUGUCGGAUGUGAAAGCCUCGGGCUUAACCCGAGAAGGGCAUCCGAAACUGGCCGGCUUGAGUACGGAAGAGGGUCUCGGAAUUCCCGGUGUAGAGGUGAAAUUCGUAGAUAUCGGGAGGAACACCAGUGGCGAAGGCGGAGACCUGGGCCGAUACUGACGCUGAUGCGCGAAAGCCAGGGGAGCGAACGGG
rnacentral:rRNA from 1 species